AAGAAGUAGUAACAAAUAUACUACUAAAAUUCUCUCUAGUUCUCUCCUUUGUUAAACAAAGUUUGAUAUUAAUAUUUUGUCUUUAUUAUAUAACACUUUUGCAUUAUCUAUCAUUUGAUUUAUUUAUUUUUCAGUGGUAUUUUUUGACCAAUGGGAAUAAUGUAUUACAAUCAUUCAGCCGUAUGUGCCAACGGAAAGCAACAUGUUAAUAAUUCAAGAGUCGAGCAUUGAUGAAAUGGGAGCAUUUAUAAUCUAUGCACCUAUAGAUUUACUAACAAUCACUUCAGUUAUCAAUGGAGGUGAUGCCACAAAAGUUUCCAUUUUGCCCUCAGUCAGUAGAACACCCUUCAUCGAAAAAUAGGUAUCACCAUAAGUCCCGAUGGUCAACUCGCUUCGACCAGCAGAAGUACUGGAAAUGCACAAGAUGGUUCAAUAUUGACAGUGGCUUUUCAAAUAUUGAUUUCUGGCGAUAAUUAUCCGCUGUCUCAGCAGAAACAUAUGGAAGUAAUGUCUUCUGUUCAUGUCCUUUUGAGCUCCAAAGUUUUAAAAAUCAAAGCAGCAUUGAGUUGCAUAAAAACAUAAAC